GCUGGUGUAGCUCAGCGGCAGAGCAGCGCACUCGUAAUGCGCAGGCCGUCGGUUCGAAUCCGACCACCAGCUCCA
rnacentral:tRNA from 1 species